CAAUCGUGAAUAAAGGGAAGGUAGUCAUAUUAAGCAGCACCUGUCCUGUAGGGAACGCAAUGAUUGCAGAGGAAAAACACAGAGUGAAGCCUGCUUGCAUCUCCCUGGGGUGUAGAGACUGACUUCCUCCCACAGCAUGAGAAAAUUAAUGCUGGGAGAUUUAAAAUGAAUUGCCCAAGAACACACAGUAUGACAUUGGCAGAGCUGUGGGCAACUUCUGCUAUCCCUGUCUUGGAAUCCAGUCACCAUGUAAAAAAUGCCACUGCCCUGAGACCACCCACCAUGCUGUUAAGAAGCCCAAGCAAGUGAAGUCACCGUAUACUAGAAUGGUUUCUAACAAUGAAAGGAACUCACCAGAGCCCCAGACUCAGCCUACAAAUCAAGCUUUAUUUUUAAAUAUUAAAAAGAAAAAAAUCUGUUAGAUUGACUUUUACAAGGAAAUAAAGCCAGGUUACUGAAUGAAUUCAUCUGAAGGUUAUUUAUAGUUUUGUUGCUUGUUUGUUUUUAACCACAGACAACAUGUCUUAAUUGGAAUGGACAAUAAAGAUAAACUGCUUCAGCCCUCUUGUAAAAUGGUGCGUAGUGUGAUGCUCAUAGCUGAGAUUUGAAGAAAUACUUUCAUUCAUUUUCAUAUCCAUCCAGCAAUCAUUUGUCAAACAGUUAUUCAGCACUGAACCAUGGACCAGAAAAGGGACAGACAGAAGAAUAAGGCAACGUUGUCCUCUUGAAGUAGUUUGAAGUUUGGAGGGACACACAUUUAAUCAUUAAAUCUUCAGUAAGAAAAAACAUAACAUGUCUUGGCCGGGAGCGGUGGCUCACGCCUGUAAUCCCAGCACUUUGGGAGGCCAAGGCGGGCAGAUCACAAGGUCAGGAGUUCAAGAACAACCUGGUCAACAUAGUGAAACCCCAUCUCUACUAAAAAUAAAAAAAAUUAGUGGGGCUUGGUGGCGGGCGCCUGUAAUCCCAGCUACUCAAGAGGCUGAGGCAGGAGAACAGCUUGAACCCGGGAGGCGGAGCUUGCAGUGAGCCGAGAUUGCGCCACUGCACACCAGCUGGGUGACAGAGCGAGACUCCAUCUUAAAA
rnacentral:lncRNA from 10 species